CCCUUAAAAUCAGAAUCUCUUUUAUAAGAACAAAUUUGAGGGGAAAAACACUUCUGUGCAUUUACCAUCAAUUAUUUAAAAUACACCAAAAUGCACUCACAGAAAAAAAAUGAUUCAGGCUGAAAGAGAAACUUUUGUGAUUAUAGCAAAUGCCCUCAAGCAAAAAAAAAAAAGAAAAAAAGUUAAAAAGGUUUAUAAAUGGAAAAGCAAGAAAAAGAAAAAAAGAUGAAUAAAG
rnacentral:lncRNA from 1 species